GACGAACGCUGGCGGCGUGCUUAACACAUGCAAGUCGAACGGAAAGGCCCUGCUUUUGUGGGGUGCUCGAGUGGCGAACGGGUGAGUAACACGUGAGUAACCUGCCCUUGACUUUGGGAUACUUCAGGAAACUGGGGCUAAUACCGGAUAGGAGCUCCUGCUGCAUGGUGGGGGUUGGAAAGUUUCGGCGGUUGGGGAUGGAUUCGCGGCUUAUCAGCUUGUUGGUGGGGUAGUGGCUUACCAAGGCUUUGACGGGUAGCCGGCCUGAGAGGGUGACCGGCGACAUUGGGACUGAGAUACGGCCCAGACUCCUACGGGAGGCAGCAGUGGGGAAUAUUGCACAAUGGGCGGAAGCCUGAUGCAGCAACGCCGCGUGCGGGAUGACGGCCUUCGGGUUGUAAACCGCUUUCGCCUGUGACGAAGCGUGAGUGACGGUAAUGGGUAAAGAAGCACCGGCUAACUACGUG
rnacentral:rRNA from 1 species